rnacentral:misc_RNA from 1 species
UAUGCCUUCGAUUAAACCUCUCCUGGAAGUUCGAGCAGUAAAGUUUGCGAGUGGCGCUGUUAGCGUUUCGGAAUCUAGAGGAUGGUCGACUGACGGAUUUCGUUCUUGUUUGAAGACCAUGUGGCCAACGGUGCUCUUCCUUCUUCAAGGUGUGGCAGGAAGUUGGGAGGAAUGGUGGACCUAUGAUGGCAUAUCAGGUCCAGACUUCUGGGGAUUGUUAAAUCCUGAGUGGAGCUUCUGUACAAAAGGCCGCAGGCAAUCUCCGAUCGAUCUUGAUCCGUCAGUUCUACUGUAUGACCCACACCUGAAAAGUCUAAAUAUCGACAAAUUUAGGUUACAGAUAUUCGGCUACAAUUCAGACUUAUAUAACAACAUAUCUGAAGCUUUGGCAGUACGGAGAAGUGAAGGCAUGGUGGGAAUUGCAGUUCUUUUACAAGUGGGAGAUUUAUCGAAUGCUGAACUCAGAAUACUUACCAGUCAACUCCAUAGGAUAAUAUAUAGAGGUCAAGAAGCGUAUUUACAGCACUUGUCUGUGAGAAAUCUUUUACCUGACACAAGACAUUUUAUGACAUACGAAGGAUCUCUGACCAUGCCUGGAUGUCAAGAAACAGUAACGUGGAUUGUCAUGAAUCGACCUAUUUAUAUCACUAAGCAACAGCUCUACAUUCUGCGGAAGUUAGUGCAAGGUGUCGAAAAUAGUCCAAAAGCUCCCUUAGGAAAUAAUUUUCGACCUCCUAUGCCACUGAACCAAAGAGUCGUCAGGACAAAUAUUGACUUCCGGAGAGCUCAGGGUAAGAAGUGUCCAACUAUGCACAGUGAUAUGCGCUACGAAGGAAAUGGAACCAGAGCCCAUGACAAUGGCUGCUAAAUCAAUAGUGUCACCAUCAAGAAACUACUCCUGGAGAACUAUGUUCCUAUCCCUCUCCUGCUCAAUCACCAUGGUUUAGCACUCCUAUUUUAUAACGGUUCGCCCAGACACUCAUAGACGAACAUCUUUCGAAGGAAUUUUUAAGAAAUCUUUUUACUACGAGCUUCAUACUAUAUUUGGAUCUUCGAAAGAAAUCUUAAAUGACUGGUUUUGGGCUUCUUGAGAAAGCUGCUCUGGUGUCUUCUCUGAGCUGGACUUUCAACUAGACAAAGGAAUGACCCUAGUUCAGCUUAAACUCAGAAAUUUCAAAAUAUAGUGUUGAUAAUGUACUUAACUGGAAUACAAUUCUAUCAUGCAAAUACAUUUUACCAAGUCAUAAAAUUGUACAUAUUAACAGGUGGCACGUUUCUAUAUUGAAAAUAUAAUUCGAGUUUAUAAAACUGUCUUUUUCUUCUGAAAGAUAAUUAAACGGAGAAGAGUGAA